UACUUUGCGCAUGGCAUUACGUAACCAAUAGUUUAUCCGAGGUGCGAUUAUUGCUAUUUGAAAACUUUUCCCAAUACCCCGCCUUCGACGGAAAUAUCGGGGCUAAAGGGAAUUUUUUUUUACCCGUUCAAGGG